rnacentral:SRP_RNA from 1 species
CCCUAGCGCUCUCGUACUUGUGCUUAGGUCAACGGGUCAGGAUCGGAAGAUAGCAGCCCAACUUAAGUUUCGAGGUACCGAGAUCACGUUAGGCGCU